rfam:Candidatus Roizmanbacteria bacterium RIFCSPHIGHO2_01_FTLL_39_12c rifcsphigho2_01_scaffold_26303, whole genome shotgun sequence.
AAGAAGCUCCCAAGCGUUUGGCUGUUCGCCAAUUAAAAGGGCACGCGAGCUGGGUUCAGACCGUCGUGAGACAGGUUGGUCUCUAUCUGUUGCAGGCGUAAGUAUUUGAGGGGAGUUGUCCUUUGUACGAGAGGAUCAGGAUGAACAAACCUCUGGUCUACCGGCUUUACCACCAGGUGAAUCGCCGGGUAGCUAUGUUUGGAAGGGAUAAGCGCUGAAAGCAUCUAAGCACGAAGCCCACCCCAAGAUUAGAUACUAUGAUCUCGUCGAAGACUACGACGUUGAUAGGCUCUAGGUGUAAGCACCGUAAGGUGUUUAGCCGAGGAGUACUAAAGAUCGCCGACCAUCCCCA